rnacentral:rRNA from 1 species
GCUUAACACAUGCAAGUCGAACGAUGAAGCCCAGCUUGCUGGGUGGAUUAGUGGCGAACGGGUGAGUAACACGUGAGUAACCUGCCCUUAACUCUGGGAUAAGCCUGGGAAACUGGGUCUAAUACCGGAUAGGAGCGCCUACCGCAUGGUGGGUGUUGGAAAGAUUUAUCGGUUUUGGAUGGACUCGCGGCCUAUCAGCUUGUUGGUGAGGUAAUGGCUCACCAAGGCGACGACGGGUAGCCGGCCUGAGAGGGUGACCGGCCACACUGGGACUGAGACACGGCCCAGACUCCUACGGGAGGCAGCAGUGGGGAAUAUUGCACAAUGGGCGCAAGCCUGAUGCAGCGACGCCGCGUGAGGGAUGACGGCCUUCGGGUUGUAAACCUCUUUCAGUAGGGAAGAAGCGAAAGUGACGGUACCUGCAGAAGAAGCACCGGCUAACUACGUGCCAGCAGCCGCGGUAAUACGUAGGGUGCGAGCGUUAUCCGGAAUUAUUGGGCGUAAAGAGCUCGUAGGCGGUUUGUCGCGUCUGUCGUGAAAGUCCGGGGCUUAACCCCGGAUCUGCGGUGGGUACGGGCAGACUAGAGUGCAGUAGGGGAGACUGGAAUUCCUGGUGUAGCGGUGGAAUGCGCAGAUAUCAGGAGGAACACCGAUGGCGAAGGCAGGUCUCUGGGCUGUAACUGACGCUGAGGAGCGAAAGCAUGGGGAGCGAACAGGAUUAGAUACCCUGGUAGUCCAUGCCGUAAACGUUGGGCACUAGGUGUGGGGACCAUUCCACGGUUUCCGCGCCGCAGCUAACGCAUUAAGUGCCCCGCCUGGGG